rnacentral:rRNA from 1 species
AUUGAACGCUGGCGGCAGGCCUAACACAUGCAAGUCGAGCGGAUGAAAGGAGCUUGCUCCUGGAUUCAGCGGCGGACGGGUGAGUAAUGCCUAGGAAUCUGCCUGGUAGUGGGGGACAACGUUUCGAAAGGAACGCUAAUACCGCAUACGUCCUACGGGAGAAAGCAGGGGACCUUCGGGCCUUGCGCUAUCAGAUGAGCCUAGGUCGGAUUAGCUAGUUGGUGAGGUAAUGGCUCACCAAGGCGACGAUCCGUAACUGGUCUGAGAGGAUGAUCAGUCACACUGGAACUGAGACACGGUCCAGACUCCUACGGGAGGCAGCAGUGGGGAAUAUUGGACAAUGGGCGAAAGCCUGAUCCAGCCAUGCCGCGUGUGUGAAGAAGGUCUUCGGAUUGUAAAGCACUUUAAGUUGGGAGGAAGGGUUGUAGAUUAAUACUCUGCAAUUUUGACGUUACCGACAGAAUAAGCACCGGCUAACUCUGUGCCAGCCGCCGCAGUAAAAC